rnacentral:rRNA from 1 species
UACGAAGGGUGCAAGCGUUACUCGGAAUUACUGGGCGUAAAGCGUGCGUAGGUGGUUCGUUAAGUCUGUCGUGAAAGCCCCGGGCUCAACCUGGGAAUGGCGAUGGAUACUGGCGGGCUAGAGUGCGGUAGAGGAGAGUGGAAUUCCUGGUGUAGCAGUGAAAUGCGUAGAUAUCAGGAGGAAUACCGAUGGCGAAGGCAGGUCUCUGGGCUGACACUGACGCUCAUGCACGAAAGCGUGGGGAGCAAACAGG